rnacentral:rRNA from 1 species
CCUACGGGUGGCAGCAGUGAGGAAUAUUGGUCAAUGGCCGUAAGGCUGAACCAGCCAAGUCGCGUGAAGGAAGAAGGAUCUAUGGUUUGUAAACUUCUUUUAUAGGGGAAUAAAGGUAUCCACGUGUGGAUUUUUGCAUUUACCCUAUGAAUAAGCAUCGGCUAACUCCGUGCCAGCAGCCGCGGUAAUACGGAGGAUGCGAGCGUUAUCCGGAUUUAUUGGGUUUAAGGGGUGCGUAGGUUGUUUUUUAAGUCAGCGGUGAAAGUUUGUGGCUCAACCAUAAAAUUGCCGUUGAAACUGGAAGACUUGAGUGUGUUUGAGGUAGGCGGAAUGCGUGGUGUAGCGGUGAAAUGCAUAGAUAUCACGAAGAACCCCGAUUGCGAAGGCAGCUUACUAAACUGUGACUGACAUUGAUGCUCGAAAGUGUGGGUAUCAAACAGGAUUAGAUACCCGGGUAGUC